rnacentral:rRNA from 1 species
GACGAACGCUGGCGGCGUGCUUAACACAUGCAAGUCGUACGGUAAGGCCCUUUCGGGGGUACACGAGUGGCGAACGGGUGAGUAACACGUGAGUAACCUGCCCACAACUUUGGGAUAACGCUAGGAAACUGGUGCUAAUACUGGAUAUGUGCUCCUGCUGCAUGGUGGGGGUUGGAAAGCUCCGGCGGUUGUGGAUGGACUCGCGGCCUAUCAGCUUGUUGGUGGGGUAGUGGCCUACCAAGGCGGCGACGGGUAGCCGGCCUGAGAGGGUGACCGGCCACAUUGGGACUGAGAUACGGCCCAGACUCCUACGGGAGGCAGCAGUGGGGAAUAUUGCGCAAUGGGCGCAAGCCUGAUGCAGCAACGCCGCGUGCGGGAUAACGGCCUUCGGGUUGUAAACCGCUUUCAGCAGGGACGAAGCUUUUUGUGACGGUACCUGCAGAAGAAGCACCGGCUAACUACGUG